GUGGUAGUGAAUAAGUCUCAUGAUAUCUGAUGGUUUGAUAACAGGAAACCUGUUUCUCUUGGCUCUCAUUCUCUUUUUGCCUGCUGCCAUCCACAUAAGAUGUGACUUGCUUCUCCUUGACUUCUGCCAUGAUUCUCCCCAGCCACGUGAAACUUGAGCUAUCUUUGGAAUGAGCAGCCUGCAUUCAGAAAUUGAAGUUGACUUAUAGAGCCAAUAAAAGCCCCUUGGAAGAGCUGGUCUUGUACCUUGUCUAUGCAGUUCCUUUACAGGAUUUCUGAUGUGAAAGACAUGUUGUGAAGAUUAAAGGAUCCACAAUGUGAGCUAGAAAGCGUUCAAGGAAUAGACUGAGUGGAAUUUCUAAAGUCGCUCCUACCAACUUAAGUGCCCCUCAACCAACAAGUGGAUAAAGAAAAGGUGGUAUAUAUACAACAUGGACUACUAACUCAGCCAUAAAAAGGAAAGAAAUUAUGGUCUUUUGCAGCAACUCGAAUGGAGCUGGAGGCCAUUAUUCUAAGAAACUCAGGAAUGGAAAAACAAAUAUCACAUGUUCUCAAUUAUAAGUGGGAACUAAACUAUGAGAAUGCAAAGGCAUCGGGAUAAUGUAAUGGACUUUGGGGACUUAGCGGGAAGGGGUGGGAGAAGGGUGAGGGAUUAAAGACUACACAUUGGGUACAGUGUACACAGCUUGGGUGAUGGGUGCACCAAAAUAUCAGAAAUGACCACUAAAGAACUUAUCCAUGUAACCAAAAACUAUUGAAC
rnacentral:lncRNA from 1 species